AGUGAACGCUGGCGGUAGGCCUAACACAUGCAAGUCGAACGGCAGCACAGUAAGAGCUUGCUCUUACGGGUGGCGAGUGGCGGACGGGUGAGGAAUACAUCGGAAUCUACUUUUUCGUGGGGGAUAACGUAGGGAAACUUACGCUAAUACCGCAUACGACCUACGGGUGAAAGCAGGGGAUCUUCGGACCUUGCGCGAUUGAAUGAGCCGAUGUCGGAUGAGCUAGUUGGCGGGGUAAAGGCCCACCAAGGCGACGAUCCGUAGCUGGUCUGAGAGGGUGAUCACACACACGGGAACUGAGACGCGGCCCAGACUCCUGGGGGAGGCAACGGUGGGGAAUCUUGGAGGAGGGGCGAGAGCGGAAUCGUGCAAAACGGCGGGGGGAAAGAUGGCGUUCGGGUGGUAAAGUCCUUUUGUUGGAAAGGAAAAAAAGCGGUUUAAUCCCCGGUGGUUAUGACGGUACCAAAAGAAUAAGCCCCGGCUAACUUCGUG
rnacentral:rRNA from 1 species